CCUACUUUCUUUUUUUUUUUUUUAAAGAAAGUCUUGAUGUUCUAAACAUUUAUUCAAAGAACAUUUUAAUGUGAUGAAUUUAAUUGAUAAAAGCUGAUGCCGCCCCCUCCUUGGCUGCCUCUACCACCUACUAGACCCCUGGACACAGUCUAAAACUGCAGUAUUAGGUCAUCUGAAAGCUUCUUCCUGUUCCUAAAUUCAGUGUUUUUAUAAUUGAAAGUCACUGGCUUCCUAAUCUGCUACCUGUUCAUGUUCCCUGCAGCAUCUUGCGGUAUAAAAGAGCCCCAGACAUGAUGUCAGAGGAGCUGGGAGUGAAUCCCUACAACCUAUCAUCUAUGGCACCUUAAUCAAGUUGCUUUACCUCUAUUGUCUGUCCCAUUUCUGCAUCAAAAGCCUGAAGGUUUUGUUUGCUGGUCUUUCAAGGUAAUAUUAGAGCCUGUGUUCUGCACAAAAACUAGCUCAACUCAGCUUGCAUUCUCUAAAAAAGUUAGCUUGACUCAGGUGAAUUAUUUCUUGCAUUUGUACAUGACAACCUGAUUCUUGUAACUCGGCUUACUUAUCAAGAGACUUUGAAGGAUUUCCUUUCCUAGCAUCAAGGUAGAACAAGAAGUUAGACAUACGUACUGUGCAUGAUUUUCUUAGUUUUUUUUUCCAGUCAAGAUUAAGAGUUGCACCUACCAGAAAAGAAUAUCUUGGAGUUUGAAUUGCAAGCUUUAGAGAAAUAAGACACUAGAUCUUCCUCACAAAAAUAAC
rnacentral:lncRNA from 1 species